GUCCCCAGGCUUGUCUCUGCUUGAAAUAGACACGCCAAGGCAGGGAGGAGCUCCCUGAAUCCGGUUACAGGCCAGUCUUCCUUCCCUUUCCGACCCAUCAGCAACUAGAGUGAGGAGACUACCAGGAGAGGCAAGAUCAUCCAGAGCUUCGGACAUUGAAUUCCUGGCCCACACACACUACUGCAUAACAAGAGGAGAUAGAGAGACCCCACCUGCACUCACUGGAAAAAGAUAUGGGAAGAAGACAGAAUAAGAACUCAAUCAACAACAGAAAGACCAAUAUGACACCACCAGAAUCUAGGGACUCCACUCCAGCAAGAUCUGAAAAGCCCAACACAGUGCACAAAGAAGAGAUGGGCCUCAAAAAUUAUCUCAGCAAGAUGAUAGAGACCUUCAAAGAGGAAACAAGAAAAUCCCUUAAAGAAAUAGAAGAAAAAGCAAGCAAAAACUUACACGAAAUGGAGGAAAAGACAAACUAAAAAAUUCAAGACAUAAACAAAUCUCUUAAAGAACCUAAAGAAACCCAAGAUAACACAACUAAACAAGUGAAGGAAGCUCUUGAAACAGUUCAAAGCAUGAAAGCUGAAAUAGACACAAUAAAGAAAACACAGAAUGAGGCGAUGCUGGAAAUGGAAAGACUGGAUAAACGAUCAGGAACUAAAGACGUGAGUAUAACUAAUAGAAUCCAAGAGACAGAAGAGAGAAUCUCAGCUAU
rnacentral:lncRNA from 1 species